ACGGAGGGUGCGAGUGUUAUUCGGAUUUACUGGGCGUAAAGAGCACGUAGGCGGAUAGGCAAGUCAGAUGUGAAAGCCCGGAGCUUAACUCCGGAACUGCAUUUGAUACUGCUUGUCUUGAGUGUGGUAGAGGGGGGUGGAAUUCCCGGUGUAGAGGUGAAAUUCGUAGAUAUCGGGAGGAACACCAGAGGCGAAGGCGACCCCCUGGGCCAUAACUGACGCUGAGGUGCGAAAGCGUGGGGAGCAAACAG
rnacentral:rRNA from 1 species